UGGAUGAGUGGCGAACGGGUGAGUAACACGUGGGCAAUCUGCCCUGCACUCUGGGAUAAGCCUUGGAAACGGGGUCUAAUACCGGAUACGACAACCGGGGGCAUCUCUGGUUGUGGAAAGUUCCGGCGGUGCAGGAUGAGCCCGCGGCCUAUCAGCUUGUUGGUGGGGUAAUGGCCUACCAAGGCGACGACGGGUAGCCGGCCUGAGAGGGUGACCGGCCACACUGGGACUGAGACACGGCCCAGACUCCUACGGGAGGCAGCAGUGGGGAAUCUUGCGCAAUGGGCGAAAGCCUGACGCAGCAACGCCGCGUGGGGGAUGACGGCCUUCGGGUUGUAAACCUCUUUCGACAUCGACGAAGGC
rnacentral:rRNA from 1 species